rnacentral:tRNA from 1 species
CCGCCAUUAACUCAACUGGAAGAGUAUUUAGCCUAUCAAGGCUAAGAGUCGAGGUUCGAUGCCUCGAUGGCGGACCA